AGGAGGAUCAGUACAGCAUCGACCACCGGCGGGAGAGGACGGGAACAGGAGAGCGCUCAAGUGCCCCUCAAACCGCCCACACCAGCACGUGUUGCCUGCCUCACUACACUGCAAGGAUAAUUUUUCUCAGAUGACUCCACCUUAGUCCUCGAGCAACGAUAAACAGGGAGUCUCUUAAACACUUAUAUAUAGUUUACGGAGACGUGAGGAAAUGUGGUUUGUGGAUUAAAUGUUAGGAGGGAUAAUACCACAGUACAGGAAGGAGGAGCCAAAGAUGAAAAGUACAUUAUUCUCAAAGUGACGGUGUUUAUCUUAAUUCCUAUACUGUAGGUGACGCUCUUAACCUAACCGUGGACGACUCACUGAAAUAACACUGAGAAUCACUAUGGUCAAGGACUUUAUUAAAUGCUUAUGGGUAUAUGAGUGUUUGCUCAGCUAAGGACAUUGAAAAGCUGUGAAACAACACGAGCUUCACCUUUAUCCUACACCAAGAGGGCAAGUGUUAAGCUACACCCAGAGGACGAGUGUGGCGAGACACCCAGAGGAAGAGUGUUGAUCUACACCCAGAGGACGAGUGUGGCGAGACACCCAGAGGACGAGUGUGGCGAGACACCCAGAGGACGAGUGUGGCGAGACACCCAGCAGGAGGCUGGCGUGAGGUGUACCUUAUCAAGAGGAGUGAGCAGAAAGGCAGCGACCUGGACUCUUGCCUCAAAUUCAACAUGAAGAGGAACUCCUCCUUCAAUUAUGCCUUCCAUGCCCAGGUUGACUACCUGCCAGAUGGGUCAACUUCUGGACCAUGGCGAUAGUGGCAGUCGGUACCGGGUUUAUCCUCACCGUCGCCGUCUCCAUCUACCUUAUCUGUCAGACGCGGCUGGAGCAACCCAUGGCGGUCCGACACCACAGGACAGUCCGACACAUCAGCCACGGUCCCGAUGUAUUCCACCCGCCCGGCCAUCACUACCACCUCCACCACCACACCUCCCACCCCUCACCUCGACGACAUGACAGCCCCCUACCACCUCCCUUCCUCCCCACACCCUCACCUCAACGAGAUGACCUCCUCAUUGCACUAUCUUGACCCACAGACCUCCCCGCUCCACGAACUCGAUGACUAAAUCAACACCUCACACAGUCACCUCUAUGAGCACCCUAGAUCCUUGCUAAUAGAUGACACCCCCUUCCUCUUAACCACAUGUGCUUCUUUUACACCCUGGAUACCUACACGUCCCCUUCCCUCACCAGAUACCCCCGUCAAACAAUGC